rnacentral:misc_RNA from 1 species
CCUCCUUAAAAUAAAAAUCGUCGAAGGUAGGCGUUCACACGAAUUAUUUGUUUUACCCAAAUUAGUUUUACUAAGAUUACGGUGAGUUUUUUAACAUUUUUAUAAGUUCAAUCAAGUCGCAUUAAUUAAAUCAUUUAUGUGGUUUAAAUUAAUGUGCAAAUGUCACCAAAUCCGUCGUGUUUUUAUAAAUACAUUUAUUUGGUGAACAUACUGCAAAGUAAUUUUGGCGUUAUGUAAUAUAGAUAUACUUGAAAGAUCUUUAUAUCAGGCAUUAAAUUGCUUGAUGUUAUAUGGGUCAAGUAACCUAAGCCGCAUACGGUUGGAAUGCCUUUGGCAAAAGGGCGAAAUUCCAGCACACUGGGCGGGCCGUUUACUAAGUGGUAUCCCGAGCCUCGGGGUACCAAAGCCUUGGGCGGUAAAUCAUGGGUCAAUAGCCUGUUUUCCUGUUGUGAAAUUUGUU